rnacentral:rRNA from 1 species
CCCUUAGAUGUUCUGGGCCGCACGCGCGCUACACUGAUGCAUUCAACGAGUUCCUACCUUGGCCGAGAGGCCUGGGCAAUCUUUUGAACUUGCAUCGUGAUAGGGAUAGAUUAUUGCAAUUAUUAAUCUUGAACGAGGAAUUCCUAGUAAACGCAGAUCAUCAAUCUGCAUUGAUUACGUCCCUGCCCUUUGUACACACCGCCCGUCGCACCUACCGAUUGAAUGGUCCGGUGAAGCCUCGGGAUUGUGGUUAGUUUCCUUCAUUGGAAGUUAGCCGCGAGAACUUGUCUAAACCUUAUCAUUUAGAGGAAGGUGAGGUCGUAACA